rnacentral:rRNA from 1 species
GAUGAACGCUGGCGGCGUGCCUAAUACAUGCAAGUCGAGCGAACAGACGAGGAGCUUGCUCCUUUGACGUUAGCGGCGGACGGGUGAGUAACACGUGGGUAACCUACCUAUAAGACUGGGAUAACUUCGGGAAACCGGAGCUAAUACCGGAUAAUAUUUUGAACCGCAUGGUUCGAUAGUGAAAGACGGCUUUGCUAUCACUUAUAGAUGGACCUGCGCCGUAUUAGCUAGUUGGUAAGGUAACGGCUUACCAAGGCAACGAUACGUAGCCGACCUGAGAGGGUGAUCGGCCACACUGGAACUGAGACACGGUCCAGACUCCUACGGGAGGCAGCAGUAGGGAAUCUUCCGCAAUGGGCGAAAGCCUGACGGAGCAACGCCGCGUGAGUGAUGAAGGUCUUCGGAUCGUAAAACUCUGUUAUUAGGGAAGAACAAACGUGUAAGUAACUGUGCACGUCUUGACGGUACCUAAUCAGAAAGCCACGGCUAACUACGUG